rnacentral:rRNA from 1 species
AACGCGAAGAACCUUACCUACCCUUGACAUGCCAGGAAGCCCGCUGAGAGGUGGGUGUGCCCGAAAGGGAGCCUGGACACAGGUGCUGCAUGGCUGUCGUCAGCUCGUGUCGUGGGAUGUUGGGUUAAGUCCCGCAACGAGCGCAACCCUUGUCACUAGUUGCUACGCAAGGGCACUCUAGUGAGACUGCCGGUGACAAACCGGAGGAAGGUGGGGAUGACGUCAAGUCCUCAUGGCCCUUAUGGGUAGGGCUUCACACGUCAUACAAUGGCGCAUACAAAGGGCUGCCAACCCGCGAGGGGGAGCCAAUCCCAGAAAGUGCGUCGUAGUCCGGAUUGCAGUCUGCAACUCGACUGCAUGAAGUCGGAAUCGCUAGUAAUCGCGGAUCAGCAAUGUCGCGGUGAAUACGUUCCGCGGGUCUGAUACACACCG